UGUCUCGAGAUUUCUAUAUGAUGAUAUGCAUGUGACUGAGUAGCUAUGUGAUUAGACCUGAUGUGCAUGUUGGCAUGACUUAUAUAUAUGUGUUUUAUAGCAUGCACAUGUUAUAUUGAGCAUUAUUCAGAUUAUUAAUAUAUGAAUCUUAUUAUUUUAUUAUCAGUUAAUAUUACCGCAAAGCUAUUUUAUAUUCAUGUUGGUGUGAGUGUGGGAG
rnacentral:lncRNA from 1 species